rnacentral:rRNA from 1 species
ACGGAAGGCAGCAGUGGGGAAUAUUGCACAAUGGGGGAAACCCUGAUGCAGCGACGCCGCGUGAGUGAAGAAGUAUUUCGGUAUGUAAAGCUCUAUCAGCAGGAAAGAAAAUGACGGUACCUGACUAAGAAGCCCCGGCUAACUACGUGCCAGCAGCCGCGGUAAUACGUAGGGGGCAAGCGUUAUCCGGAUUUACUGGGUGUAAAGGGAGCGUAGACGGUAUGGCAAGUCUGAAGUGAAAGCCCGGGGCUCAACCCCGGGACUGCUUUGGAAACUGUUAAACUAGAGUGUCGGAGAGGCAAGUGGAAUUCCUAGUGUAGCGGUGAAAUGCGUAGAUAUUAGGAGGAACACCAGUGGCGAAGGCGGCUUGCUGGACGAUGACUGACGUUGAGGCUCGAAAGCGUGGGGAGCAAACAGGAUUAGAUACCCUGGUA